rnacentral:tRNA from 1 species
GAGGCUAUAGCUCAAGUGGUAGAGCACAUGCCUAGCAUGCACAAGGUCCUGGGUUUAAUCCCCAGUACCUCCU